UUUCCGUAGGUGAACCUGCGGAAGGAUCAUUAUUGAAUGAAACACUUCUGGCUUUAUGCUGUUGUGCUGGCCCUUUGGGCAAUGUGCACACGGCUCUGGUCACUUGUUUCUUCUGUUCCACCUGUGCACUGCCUGUAGACACGCUGUGUCUAUGAUAUUUGUUAACACACAACAAUGUUAGUUGGCAUGUUAUAUAUAAUAAUAAAAUAUACAACUUUCAACAACGGAUCUCUUGGUUCUG
rnacentral:misc_RNA from 1 species